rnacentral:rRNA from 2 species
UAAAGGUAAACGCCUUCCCCAAGGCCAAUGGAUGCAUUAGCCGAAGUUGAAGAGGCUGAUUGGCCCCACAUUGGGGAUUGAGACCCCGGCCCCAGACUCCUUACGGGGAGGCAACCAGUAGGGAAUUUUUCCACAAUGGGCGCAAGCCUGAUGGAGCAACCCCCGCGUGAGUGAAGAAGGGUUUCGGUUCGUAAAACUCUGUUGUUAAAGAAGAACGUAUCUGAGAGUAACUGUUCAGAUAGUGACGGUAUUUAACCAGAAAGCCCCGGCUAACUACGUGCCAGCAGCCGCGGUAAUACGUAGGUGGCAAGCGUUAUCCGGAUUUAUUGGGCGUAAAGGGAGUGCAGGCGGUUAUUUAAGUCUGAUGUGAAAGCCUUCGGCUUAACCGGAGAAGGGCAUCGGAAACUGGAUAACUUGAGUGCAGAAGAGGGUAGUGGAACUCCAUGUGUAGCGGUGGAAUGCGUAGAUAUAUGGAAGAACACCAGUGGCGAAGGCGGCUACCUAGUCUGUAACUGACGCUGAGGCUCGAAAGCAUGGGUAGCAAACAGGAUUAGAUACCCUGGUAGUCCAUGCCGUAAACGAUGAAUACUAGGUGUUAGGGGGUUUCCGCCCCUUAGUGCCGCAGCUAACGCAAUAAGUAUUCCGCCUGGGGAGUACGACCGCAAGGUUGAAACUCAAAGGAAUUGACGGGGACCCGCACAAGCGGUGGAGCAUGUGGUUUAAUUCGAAGCUACGCGAAGAACCUUACCAGGGCUUGACAUCUUCUGCUAAUCCGAGAGAUCGGACGUUCCCUUCGGGGACGGAAAGACAGGUGGUGCAUGGUUGUCGUCAGCUCGUGUCGUGAGAUGUUGGGUUAAGUCCCGCAACGAGCGCAACCCUUAUGAUUAGUUGCCAGCAUUAAGUUGGGCACUCUAAUGAGACUGCCGGUGACAAACCGGAGGAAGGUGGGGACGACGUCAAAUCAUCAUGCCCCUUAUGUCCUGGGCUACACACGUGCUACAAUGGAUGGUACAACGAGCAGCGAAGUCGCGAGGCCAAGCAAAUCUCUUAAAGCCAUUCUCAGUUCGGACUGUAGGCUGCAACUCGCCUACACGAAGUCGGAAUCGCUAGUAAUCGCGGAUCAGCAUGCCGCGGUGAAUACGUUCCCGGGUCUUGUACACACCGCCCGUCACACCAUGAGAGUUUGUAACACCCAAAGUCGGUGGGGUAACCUUCGGGAGCCAACCGCCUAAGGUGACCAAGAUUUGGGU